rnacentral:lncRNA from 1 species
UCCUCAUGCAGUUAAACAGCAGUAAUAGUCUUCUUAUUACAGCAGGAUUCUAAUCUCCGCGCCUUCCUUUCUCUAGAUUUAUGAUCCUGGACAUAUUUGAACCUUUCUACUUGCUGUCCAUGUGAAAAUGAAGAGUGUGGAACAAGGAGCAGGAGUUAUGCAGGGGAGGCUGAGGACCAUCCAGACCUUAUUCACUCGUCCUUCCCCUUCCACCCCAAGGAUGUCCAUACGCUACAGCUGCCAGCUUUAAUAAAGGAAAAUGC